CACCUCUAGCCAAUUAACAUAUAUUAGAGGCACUGCCUGCCCAGUGAUAACAUUUUUAACGGCCGCGGUAUUCUGACCGUGCAAAGGUAGCAUAAUCACUUGUCUUUUAAAUUAAGACUAGUAUGAAUGGCAACACGAAAGCUUAACUGUCUCCUCUAUCUAGUCAAUGAAAUUGAUCUUCUUGUACAAAAGCAAGAAUAUAAAAACAAGACGAGAAGACCCUAUGGAACUUUAAACACAUAAGCCACCUUAUUACCCUAUCUAAUAAUAUAACAAACUGGCAUACUGUUUUUGGUUGGGGUGACCACGGAGAAACAUCUAACCUCCGAGAAUUAUACUAAGAUUCUACAUAUCAAAGUACUAAACCUUAGAUUAUGACCCAAUAAACUUGAUCAACGAACCAAGCUACCCUAGGGAUAACAGCGCAAUCUUCUUCAAGAGCCCAUAUCGCCAAGAAGGUUUACGACCUCGAUGUUGGAUCAGGAUUACCAAACAGUGCAGCCGCUGUCAAAGGUUUGUUUGUUCAACAAUUAAAAUCCU
rnacentral:rRNA from 1 species